rnacentral:rRNA from 1 species
CAGCAGCCACGGGAAUACGAAGGGGGCUAGCGUUGUUCGGAAUUACUGGGCGUAAAGCGCACGUAGGCGGAUACUUAAGUUAGGGGUGAAAUCCCAGGGCUCAGCCCUGGAACUGCCUUUAAUACUGGGUAUCUUGAGUUCGAGAGAGGUAAGUGGAAUUCCGAGUGUAGAGGUGAAAUUCGUAGAUAUUCGGAGGAACACCAGUGGCGAAGGCGGCUUACUGGCUCGAUACUGACGCUGAGGUGCGAAAGCGUGGGGAGCAAACAGGAUUAGAUACCCGCGUAGUCCCUGUCUCUUAUAC